GGGGCGAGGGAGGAAGUGAGGAAGGAGCCAGAGCUGCAGCUGAAAUGAGCUGAUGGAUCCUUGCUCCCUCCACACCUCCAGAUUCGGGAGCUUGUUCCA
ensembl:miRNA